UUAUAUAACUGUUGUCUGCCACACUGGCUCAAUAUUUUCUAAUCGAUUAAGUAUUAACUUAUUUCAUCAUCUUUCUUCAUAAGCUUUUUAAAACCUUAAAAUAAAGAAAAAGUGAAGUUUAAGCCACGUUUGAAUGAUGAAAUUGUGUUUUCUUUUUAUACAAAAUAAUAAGAUUAAAAAAACAACAGGAAAGUUUUCAAUCAAGAAUAGCCAAUUUGUUUGUUUCGUAAUACAGAACGUUUGAAGGAUGCGAACGUGACAUACCUUCUAAUAGCUUUGUCUAUUAAUAUUUACAUAUUUUAAGAUAUACUGCCAUGUCUCGCCCAUACCUUCCCCCUGCUGACCCUAAACGCCCAUGGCCUAUAGUCAUUAAAGUUGCCCUUGGUGCGGGAGCGUUAAUGACAGCUGUACGAAUAUAUCAGUUUAAGCGUAUGCCACGAGGACAAACAAUAAACCAGUUCCUAUUGGACAGUCGUGUGCUUAUUCAGGGUUCAAUAGUUGUCAUUCUGGGUUUUCCAGCUAUGUACGAUCUUUUUACAAGAAGCAGUAGGGCAAAACUUGAAGCUAGUCAAAAGAAAUCAAAUGGAGAACUUGCCAGUAAGGUAGACAACUCAUUGAAAAAGGCAAAGCAAGCUGAGGCAUUAAAAAAGCUAAAUGCAAAAAAAGAAGAAAGAAUUGCUGCAAUGUUAGAAAGAGAAAACAAACAACCAAAAAGACCAGGUGUUAGCAAACCAAACAAAACUGACGAGUGAUCUUAGAUUUUUGUCAAAAUUGUAUGUGAUACCUUGUUGUUACUUACGUCAUACAUGCCAUAUUCCCCAGCGGGGGGGAAAUCCCCUCGGAAUUCCGACCCAUCCCCUGGUCCCCUGCUGUGAAAGUGUGAAAUUCUAUGAAGGACCAUAAUGACCAAGUCUAAGAAUUAUUGUAAUUAGGGUGUGUUUCUGUAUUUAUUAUUAUAUUAUAAAUGUAGAUAUUCGGUGUAAAAUUCCCCUGGUGUAUUAUUGAAAUCCCCUGGAAUUCAGACCAAAAUCCCCUUGGAAGCCUCUCAGAAAUAUGGCAUGUAUGUACAGUUGUUAUUUUAAUCAAUGGAGUUUUAAAUUUCUCUUUUUGGAAUAUAUAAUGAACUAUUUUAUAGUGAAUGCGAAUAAAGGUUUUAUACCUUUAAUAUAAUGCAAUAUCGUGCCAAUUGAAACCAGUUUAAUUUUUUAUGAAUACUGUGUUUCACAUUCCUUAUUUUUGGACACUUCCUUAGCGCUAGGCCAAUCUCUUUUUUGUCUUAUACUUUCUGAGUUUAAGCUGACUGAGUUCACUUCUUAUCGUAAACAUGACAAAAUCAGAUGUUCUUGACAAGUGAUCUUUGUUUUAUUGAUACCUGUAUGUCUCUACAUGUAUAUCUGCAUGUACCGUAUUUCUGUACAUGUAUAUGAUACUGGUAUGCUACUAGCAAUGUUUCUGCCAACUGUUUCAAUGCGCUAAACUUAUACAUGUAAACAGCUGUGUGACAUGAUGCAGUUGUCAAUAAUAAUAAUAGCAUUAUUCUAAUUAGUUGAAAAUUUCAGUUAUCAUUUUAAAAACUAAAUAAAUAUUUAAUUUUUUUUGCUGCUAGACAAAGUUCCAUCACUAAACCGUGGAUGACAUUUACGUUGCUUCCUGUAUAUGAUAUUGUUGUUUUAAGCUUCUACUAGCCAAAGGUCCCGUGUCCGUCCUCUGUGCUUCAGUUAACAAUUGCAUAUGAACGCUUAGUUUUCAGACUAAACCAGUAGUUAGAUAUCCAUGAGAGCUUGGUUCCUUUCGAAAACCAGCUAGAUCAACGCAUGUAUGACUGGAUUAUUGCCCUUCCUUAAAAUGCAAAAUAAUUUUCUAAGGAAGACAACUUUGUAGAGAGAUCUAUAUUAUUGGUUGACUCCCUUUCAAACUUGGUUGCAUGCUCUUGUAACAAAUUAUUAAAUGACCAAAAGAGCCCUCAUUUACUGAUGAAGGUGAAAUACCAAAACACCUAAGAGUAAGGGCCCGUUUAUGCCAAAUAUAGCAAUGACAACUUUCAAACUGAAUCAGUGGCCAAAAUUAAAUGAAAUUGAUUGAAGGUGACUUCUUUUGAUAGGUUUAAACACUAUUUGAAUGGCCACAGAAACUUAAACACUAUUUGAAUGGCCACAGAAACUCAGGAGUUAUGGUUAUAUUGAGCAGGAAAUAUUGUGUUGCAAGUACCUCCAUAACAAUGUCAGUCAUGAAACUUUACAGGAAUGUUAACUAGGACGUGGAGUGGCAUACCUGGGGUAAAGCUUGUGGUAACCUCCAGUAUAAGUGAAGUUAUGGCCCUUGACUUAGUUAGAAACAGCAUAUAAAGCAUGGAAUCUUAUGUCACCCAUAUCUGAUAAGUAUGAGUCAGCGCCAUGAAAAUUAAGAGGAAUGUUACUCUUCGAGCAUGAUAAGUUGUGCAUCUAAGGUCUUGUUUAUGGCUGUGCCUAGCAGAGUUAUGGUCCUUGACUUAAACAAUAUUAAGCAUAUACAGAGUGGAAUUUAGCGUUCCACUUAUCUAAGAAAAUAUUUGAGUCUAGGUCAGAAACCUCCGAGAUCAUUUUAUGCCCUCACUCUUUUGUUGUGCAACUGGUAAUUUUGAUACAAAUUCAAGGACACAUGAAAUAAAAAUGAUCCUUGCUUUCGUGACAAAGUCGGGAAGUGGGUGCAUUUGUAUCUUAUGGACAUGGGCACAUCUCUAAUAAUGAUUUUUCCUUAUUCAACUGCCUUGUAGAACUCUUAAAUGCUAAUAAAUGAUAGCUUUUAUCUUUUUAACCUCUUUUUUUAGAUAUAUUUAUUUUACAAAUUAUAUGGUAAGAUAACUACUGUAUUAUACCACGACCUAUAUUAGGUCUGUGACUUAAUUAUAAUUAGGAUGAUAGGUUAAUUUGAGUCAUGUCUGAUGAUUAAAUUUUCUGCUUUGACAAAAUUGUGUACUAUGCAUUGAAUGUUAUAAUACUAUAAUGAUGUAGAAAAGCUUCGAAAUAAAUAUUAAAUUUAU